rnacentral:rRNA from 1 species
UGGGAGUGCUCGCAAGAGAACCGGAACACAGGUGCUGCAUGGCUGUCGUCAGCUCGUGUCGUGAGAUGUUGGGUUAAGUCCCGCAACGAGCGCAACCCUUGUCAUUAGUUGCUACAUUCAGUUGGGCACUCUAAUGAGACUGCCGGUGACAAACCGGAGGAAGGUGGGGAUGACGUCAAGUCCUCAUGGCCCUUAUAGGUGGGGCUACACACGUCAUACAAUGGCUGGUACAAAGGGUUGCCAACCCGCGAGGGGGAGCUAAUCCCAUAAAACCAGUCGUAGUCCGGAUCGCAGUCUGCAACUCGACUGCGUGAAGUCGGAAUCGCUAGUAAUCGUGGAUCAGAAUGUCACGGUGAAUACGUUCCCGGGUCUUGUACACACCGCCCGUCACACCAUGGGAGCGGGUCUCGCCAGAAGUAGUUAGCCUAACCGCAAGGAGGGCGAUUACCACGGCGGGGUUCGUGACUGGGGUGAAGUCGUAACAAGUACCAAUCGAUUCCCGCGCCGCCAUGGCGAUGGAGCACAUAUCGAC